UACGUAGGGGGCAAGCGUUGUCCGGAAUCAUUGGGCGUAAAGAGCGUGUAGGCGGCUCGAUAAGUCUGCUGUGAAAGUCCAGGGCUCAACCCUGGAAGGCCGGUGGAAACUGUCGGGCUAGAGUCCGGAAGAGGCGAGUGGAAUUCCCGAUGUAGCGGUGAAAUGCGCAGAUAUCGGGAGGAACACCAAUUGCGAAGGCAGCUCGCUGGGACGUUACUGACGCUGAGACGCGAAAGCGUGGGGAGCAAACAGG
rnacentral:rRNA from 1 species